UACAGAGGUGCUCAAGCGUUUGUUCGGAUUCAUUGGGCGUAAAGGGUGCGUAGGUGGCGCGGUAAGUCGGGUGUGAAAUUUCGGAGCUUAACUCCGAAACUGCAUUCGAUACUGCCGUGCUUGAGGACUGGAGAGGAGACUGGAAUUUACGGUGUAGCAGUGAAAUGCGUAGAGAUCGAUAAGGAAGACCAGUGGCGGAAGGCGGGUCUCUGGACAGUUCCUGAACACUGAGGCACGAAGGCCAGGGGAGCAAACGGG
rnacentral:rRNA from 1 species